CGCGUGGGAACCUACCUUAUUCUACGGAAUAACACAGAGAAAUUUGUGCUAAUACCGUAUACGCCCUUUGGGGGAAAGAUUUAUCGGAGUAAGAUGGGCCCGCGUUGGAUUAGCUAGUUGGUGGGGUAAUGGCCUACCAAGGCGACGAUCUAUAGCUGGUCUGAGAGGAUGAUCAGCCACACUGGGACUGAGACACGGCCCAGACUCCUACGGGAGGCAGCAGUGGGGAAUAUUGGACAAUGGGCGCAAGCCUGAUCCAGCCAUGCCGCGUGAGUGAUGAAGGCCUUAGGGUUGUAAAGC
rnacentral:rRNA from 1 species